GCCUAACACAUGCAAGUCGCGCGGGCAGUAGCAAUACUGUUAGCGGCGGACGGGUGAGGAACACAUAGGAAUCUGCCUCAGAGCGGGGGAUAGCCCAGGGAAACUUGGAGCAAUACCGCAUGAUGUCGCAAGACCAAAGCUGGGGACCGCAAGGCCUAGCACUCUGAGAGGAGCCUAUGUCUGAUUAGCUAGUUGGUAGGGUAAAGGCAUACCAAGGCGACGAUCAGUAACUGGUCUGAGAGGACGAUCAGUCACACCGGAACUGAGACACGGUCCGGACUCCUACGGGAGGCAGCAGUGGGGAAUAUUGGACAAUGGGCGCAAGCCUGAUCCAGCAAUGCCGCGUGUGUGAAGAAGGCCUUCGGGUUGUAAAGCACUUUAAGCAGGGAAGAAAAAACUCGGUCUAAUACAUCGAGUCUUGACGGUACCUGAAGAAUAAGCACCGGCUAACUCUGUGCCAGCAGCCGCGGUAAUACAGAGGGUGCUAGCGUUAAUCGGAUUUACUGGGCGUAAAGCGUGUGUAGGUGGUUAUUCAAGUCAGUUGUGAAAUCCCUGGGCUUAACCUGGGAACUGCUUCUGAGACUGAAUGACUAGAGUACGGUAGAGGGUGGUGGAAUUUCCGGUGUAGCGGUGAAAUGCGUAGAUAUCGGAAGGAACAUCAAUGGCGAAGGCAGCCACCUGGGCCUGUACUGACACUGAGACACGAAAGCGUGGGGAUCAAACAGGAUUAGAUACCCUGGUAGUCCACGCCGUAAACGAUGAGAACUUGACGUCGGUUUGCUCUGCAAGUCGGUGUCGUAGCUAACGCGAUAAGUUCUCCGCCUGGGGAGUACGGCCGCAAGGUUGAAACUCAAAGGAAUUGACGGGGGCCCGCACAAGCGGUGGAGUAUGUGGUUUAAUUCGAUGUAACGCGAAGAACCUUACCUGGGCUUGACAUGCUAGGAAUCCUGCA
rnacentral:rRNA from 1 species